rnacentral:rRNA from 1 species
GACGAACGCUGGCGGCGUGCCUAAUACAUGCAAGUAGAACGCUGAAGGAGGAGCUUGCUUCUCUGGAUGAGUUGCGAACGGGUGAGUAACGCGUAGGUAACCUGCCUGGUAGCGGGGGAUAACUAUUGGAAACGAUAGCUAAUACCGCAUAAGAGUAGAUGUUGCAUGACAUUUGCUUAAAAGGUGCAAUUGCAUCACUACCAGAUGGACCUGCGUUGUAUUAGCUAGUUGGUGGGGUAACGGCUCACCAAGGCGACGAUACAUAGCCGACCUGAGAGGGUGAUCGGCCACACUGGGACUGAGACACGGCCCAGACUCCUACGGGAGGCAGCAGUAGGGAAUCUUCGGCAAUGGACGGAAGUCUGACCGAGCAACGCCGCGUGAGUGAAGAAGGUUUUCGGAUCGUAAAGCUCUGUUGUAAGAGAAGAACGAGUGUGAGAGUGGAAAGUUCACACUGUGACGGUAUCUUACCAGAAAGGGACGGCUAACUACGUGCCAGCAGCCGCGGUAAUACGUAGGUGGCAAGCGUUAUCCGGAUUUAUUGGGCGUAAAGAGAGUGCAGGCGGUUUUCUAAGUCUGAUGUGAAAGCCUUCGGCUUAACCGGAGAAGUGCAUCGGAAACUGGAUAACUUGAGUGCAGAAGAGGGUAGUGGAACUCCAUGUGUAGCGGUGGAAUGCGUAGAUAUAUGGAAGAACACCAGUGGCGAAGGCGGCUACCUGGUCUGCAACUGACGCUGAGACUCGAAGCAUGGGUAGCGAACAGGAUUAAUACCCUAGUAGUCCAGGGGGAAUUCCACAUGGAUAUCAAGCUAUCGAUACCGUCGACCUCCAGGGGGGGCCGGGACCAGCUUUUGUUCCCUUUAAAAAAAGAAAAAUAAAAAACU